rnacentral:lncRNA from 1 species
UGGAAGUCACAUUCCCUCUGUUCUUACGUGUGUGCUGGAUUGCCAAGGAGGGGAAAAGAAAACCCUCAGCCGCUUGCCAUCUCUCUCCUUUUUAUAUGUGUCUUUCUUCAUGAAAAGCGGGCCUCUGAAAACGAUUGCAUGAAGUGGAGCGUCUCUGUCAGGUGGAACUGGCCUCCCAGGCCGCAUUUACCCCAGUGUUAUUACAGGAAAUGAAUGCAUUGUAUUGAAGGCCGUUUGUCGCUCAUUGUUGCUCAGGCUCAGGCCUGUGUGGGACUGUUUGUCCUCCUGCACACACAGCAGCCAUUGUGUCCCCUGCAACAUCCUACAUGCAGCUGUGAACAGUUGUGCCCGAGCCAGUUUAUCGGCCGUGGAAUUCACUCAGAAAGGAAUCGAGAACAACAUAUCAAGUCAGGGCCCUCAUUUUCUCUGGGAAUGUUCUGAGCUCUCCCGCAUUCCUCCUCCCACUUGGCCAAGAAAAACAAACAAACAGUGGCCUCCUUUGAUGUACGCACCUCUGGGCUAUUCAGAGGUGGGAUUUUUUGGGUAAGAAUUUCCAAUUUCUACAUGGAAUCUCCAUUCACAACUUUCUGGACCCAGAGAGCUAAGGCAACAGAAUCUAAUAACUACAAAGGCUGUCCCUGCCACUGAUCUCUGGGGCCAAAUGAUGUCCCUACAGUAAACAAAGUCAAGGGGGUGUCCCACCCCGUCAUUUCACACCAUGACAGCCGUGAGGCUAAUUUGCAGGGUGACUCUAUGAACACUGUGUUGUCCUUUCGGGUUGUUCAUAUGGCCCACCUCCCAUAGGACACAUAUUUAAUUCAUCAGAACAUGAAACACUUGGCAGGGCACAGUGGCUCACCCCUGUAACUCCACACUUUUGGAGGCCGAGAUGAGAGCGUCACUUGAGGCCAGGAGUUCGAGACCAGCCUAAGCAAUAUAGCAAGAUCCUAUCUUUAUUUUAAAAGAAUGAAAAAUAAAAAACAGGAGGCUGGGCGUGGUGGCCCAUGCCUGUAAUCCCAACACUUUGGGAGGCCAAGGCAGGUGGAUCACCUGAGGUCAAGAGUUCGAGACCAACCUGGCCAACAUGGCAAAACCCUGUCUCUAUUAAAAAUACAAAAAUUAGCCAGGCAUGGUGGUGGGCACCUGUAGUCCCAGCUACUUGGGAGGCUGAGCAGGAGGAUCGCUUGAACCCAGGAGGCGAAGGUUGCAGUGAGCCGAGAUCGUGCCACUGUACUGCAGCCUGGGAGACAAAGUAAGACUCUGUCUUAAAAAAUAAGAAUAAUGAAAAAAAAAAAAACAAGAAAUAUCGGCUCCCAGGCUAGAAAUAGGAGUCAAGAAAGACUGAGGCAGGUUUCAUAGGUGAACAUUCAUAUCAAGUCUUGGCAACUGUUUAGGUGGGACAGUUGAGGCUUGGGUUGGCUUAGAAACAUUGAUCAUUUUUUCUUAAGCAUAGUGCCUACAAUUUUGAUUGGUAAAUGGGGUUUUGGGCUUGGUUGUGGAAAGUGAACCAACCAUCUGUUUUUUUCCUUGGACUGCAGUGGUGCUCAACAGAACAUUUUGCACGAGGAGCCUUAAGCUAAACAUUUGCUCUAAAACAUAUAUGUGUAUCUAUACAUCUAUGUACAUGUAAAAAAACCAUGUGUAUCCACUUAUCAGAAUAAAUCUCUGAUGCUGGGUGUGGUGGCUGAUGCCUGUAAUCCCAUCACUUUGGAAGGCCAAGGCAAGUGGAUCACUUAAUCCCAGGAGUUUUGAGACUAGCCUGGGCAACACAGUGAAACCCUGUCUCUACAAAAAAUACACAAAUUAUCUGGGUGUGGUGGUGCAUGCCUAUAGUCCCAGCUACUAGGGAGGCUGAGAUGGAAGGAUUGCUUGAGCCUGGGAUGUCAAGGCUGCAGUGAGCCAUGAGCAUGCCACUGCCCGAGUGACACAGCAAGACCCUGUCUCAAAAGAAAAAAAAAGAAUAAAUAUCUAACAAACACAAUAUAUCAAUAGUUGCCAAUAAAGUUUAGAGUAAGUAGAAUUUAGAAGAACAUGACUUAACUAAGUCCAAAUACACAGAUGUAACUUUUCCUCACUGUCCAAAUUUCCAGUUUUCACUACUAUUAAAUGUGACUCUGAUGUUCAUAAACAGGGCAAAGGAGGAAAUAAACUUAAUUCACUCAACUUGUUCUUCAGAGUCUAAAAGCCUUGUGGGGCUUAUGCUCAACUUUUACACAACGGCUUUGGCAUUAAAAGUCUUUGCACAGGCUGCUUAUAAUCCCUGCACUUUGGGAGGCCAAGGAAGGAGGAUUGCCCUGAGCUCAGGAGUUUGAGACCAGUGUGGGCAACAUGUCGAGACCCUGUCUCUACACAAAAUUUUAAAAACUAGCUGGGCAGGAUGGUGCACACCUGUAAUCCCAGCUACUGGGGAGGCUAAGGCAGGAGCAUCGCUUGAGCCCAGGAGGUCAAGGCUGCAGUGAGCUAUGAGUGUGCCACUGCACCCAAGCCUGGGCGACCCUGUCUCAAAAAAAAUAAAAAUAAAAAAAAUUUUAAAGCCAUUGCACAGUUUUCUCUGCUGCUGGAAUAAAUGGAUCUUCUGCUAGCUCUAAUUGCCCUAGUAAAAGAAUAUUAUCUUUGACCACUGAUCCUAAGAACCCAAAUUCCCUGCAAUUCCUUUGCUAAAGGAAAUCCCUGUCUUCUCUCCAUUUCUGGCCCCUGAAUGCUAUUUUUCUUACAACCAACAAAGAAGAGUAUAAAGGUGUUUAUGGAAAGAGCAUCCCUGUGAGCCCCCUUUUCCUGGGACAGUUAUUCUUUUCCCAAACAGAGAAGGGUUCUUUUAAUAAUCAAGUUACCGAUUUAUUCUAAACUCUCCCCUCCCAACUGAUAUUUGAAGGUUGGAAUGGCAUUAAAAAUAACAUCACAUAGAA